UCUGAAUGACAGCCUCAAUCUGUACCUCAUCAUCUGGAGUAGAAGCUUCCUCUGACUCUCUACAGUGAUAAGAAGGUGGCUCAGCAGUUCGACGGUCCACUUCCGUCCUCUUCUGCUUUGUCCGUUCCUUUGCUGCUUUCGAAUCAGUAAAGUGCUUUUUCAUCAACUAUCGGAUCUCCUGUGGGCAUUUCCGACACAGGUACACAUCA
rnacentral:lncRNA from 1 species